rnacentral:rRNA from 1 species
CCAAUAGCGUAUAUUAAAGUUGUUGCAGUUAAAAAGCUCGUAGUUGAAUUUCGGGAUUCUACCGUUGGUCGGGCUAUCCAGUCUGUACUAGCGUGUAGAAUUUCUACCUUCUGGGGAACCAUCAUGUUAUUAAUUUAGCGUGGUGGGAAACCAGGACCUUUACCUUGAAAAAAUUAGAGUGUUCAAAGCAGGCUUACGUCUGAAUACAUUAGCAUGGAAUAAUAAAAUAGGACGGUGGUCCUGUUUUGUUGGUUUCUGAAUCACCGUAAUGAUUAAUAGGGAUAGUUGGGGGCAUUAGUAUUCAAUUGUCAGAGGUGAAAUUCUUGGAUUUAUUGAAGACUAACUUCUUCGAAAGCAUUUGCCAAGGAUGUUUUCAUUAAUCAAGAACGAAAGUUAGGGGAUCGAAGACGAUCAGAUACCGUCGUAGUCUUAACCAUAAACUAUGCCGACUAGGGAUCGGAUGAAGUUAAUUUUUUAAUGACUCAUUCGGCGCCUUACG